AAUCCAUGCAUCGGACUUUUUCAAAUUAAAUCUUUGAAUCGUUCCCAAGGUUCAUAUAGUGUUUCAUCCUUCAAUUGCUGAAAAUAUGUGAUGUCAUUUCUAAGCUU
rfam:Gossypium arboreum cultivar AKA8401 contig_6311_1, whole genome shotgun sequence.